rnacentral:rRNA from 1 species
AAGCAUAUCAAUAAGCGGAGGAAAAGAAACCAACAGGGAUUGCCCUAGUAACGGCGAGUGAAGCGGCAACAGCUCAAAUUUGAAAUCUGGCCUCGGCCCGAGUUGUAAUUUGCAGAGGAUGCUUCUGGCGCGGUGCCUUCCGAGUUCCCUGGAACGGGACGCCACAGAGGGUGAGAGCCCCGUAUGGUCGGACACCAAGCCUGUGUGAAGCUCCUUCGACGAGUCGAGUAGUUUGGGAAUGCUGCUCUAAAUGGGAGGUAAAUCUCUUCUAAAGCUAAAUACCGGCCAGAGACCGAUAGCGCACAAGUAGAGUGAUCGAAAGAUGAAAAGCACCUUGAAAAGGGGGUUAAAUAGUACGUGAAAUUGUUGAAAGGGAAGCACUUGUGACCAGACUUGGGCCGGGCGGCUCAUCAGGGGUUCUCCCCUGUGCACUCCGCCCGGCACAGGCCAGCAUCGGUUCUCGCGGGGGGAUAAGACCGCCGGGAACGUAGCACCCUCCGGGGUGUGUUAUAGCCCGGCGGACGAUACCCCCGCGGGGACCGAGGUCCGCGCUCCGCAAGGAUGCUGGCGUAAUGGUCACCAGUGACCC